rnacentral:misc_RNA from 1 species
CACACACACACACACGAGCACACUCCAGAGACCACACGCUUCCACGGACACCGGCUUUUACAGGAUCGCUUCUCCACCCGCCUACUCAUCCUUCGGUGUCUCACGAGCACAGCCGUAACACCUAAACACACGUGUAUUGGUGGCCUUGGUCUUUGUAAACGCUCUUUUUUUUCAGCGCGCGCUGGACAUACGCCCUACACACACACAGACGCACGGCAAGCAUCAUUGCGAACGGCAUCGACCCCCUUGCCUUCCCUCCUCCUCCUCCCCUCUCCGAAGCGUACACCCACACGCACAACAACAACAUAGGGGGUCAUCACCGGGCCGUAGGAACCAAGAGAACCAGAGGGCACCAAACGAAAGCGGAAAAAGACGCCGGCAGCAGCAUCAUCCUAAUAGUAAGUGCAUACAUACACAUAUAUGUGUGUGCAUGUAUGUGUAUAUAUAUAUAUAUAUAUGCCUAUCUGUAAACAACCAGAAUACGCGUAACGAAGAGGCAGCAGCGACGACGACGACGGCAAGGGGAAUAAGAAGCCAAAUCGGGAUCACACGACACCACGAUCCGCCACACGGCCCCUUACUCCGUGUAUCUACCCCUCGUGUACAUCGGCAGGGGCGAGGUUAACACGUAAACGAAGUAAAAAAAAAGAGGAAACACACGCAAGGCACCCGAAGGAUCGACAGACACGCACACGCACACGCAGAGAGAGAGAGCGAGAGAGAAAGAGGGGGACGAGCACGAGCGCGAAAGCGGCCGACUUGGGCAACAUCAAGGCAAGGGCGUGAGAGUGUGGAGGGGGGCAGAUCUCUCUCUCUCCUCACCAACGUUCACACGCGCGAGCACUGCGCCGUCCUUCUUUUUUUUUUCGUUCCACUUCUCGGCACGCGCGAGAGAAUCUCCGUAGACCUCCCCCAACGCAGCACAGCAGAGCUCGGCGCGAAUCUUGAUUCGCGCGCCUCUUCUUCCUCUUUAGCUCCUUUCGUGUCGUCGCACUGGCCGACCCGUGCAGCAUCUGCCCGUCCACCGAUCUACCCAUAUCUACACCGAUACAUACACGGGUGACGCUUGUGUCAGCACCGCCUUCCGACUCCUGCGUGUCUCUUUGAGUUUUGUGCGCCCUGCUUGAAAGCAUUUUUCGCUUGGUGGCGUGACUUUCACGCCUUAGGUGACGUCUUCGGCCCGUCUCUCUCUCUCUCUCUGCUACGUUGAACACGCGGAGCGACAUCGCGUAAAGGGGGCUGCUGUGCUCACAGACGAGGCAGACGUGCGAAUACGCAUAACCAUCGAGAGGACGACAAGGGCUUAUCCGAAGGGGGAGCAGCUCGCCCUUCCGGUGAUCAUAGGUAUCAGCGUCAAAAGACGUGCAGGGAGGAGCCGGGGCGUGCACCCGAAUCGUGUGUUGGGGGAACACCGUGAUCAUCUUGUGUCCCUCGGGUGUGUGUGUGUGUGUAUCUUGUGUUUUGUUUUCGUUUUUAUUCGCCCUUUUCACCUUGUUGUGCUGGGGGCUUGUGGCUGAUAUCCAUCCGCGUAGUCGACGUGUAGCCGGCCGAUACGAUCAUCUGUGCCUUCCUCCUUCCCUCCCUCCCUUCCCCCCCAAAAAAAAGGAAGGGCGAACAAACAUCAACACACGUGGCGGCUGAAGCAGACAGAGAAAAAAAGGCGGGUUCGAUGGAACACUACGCGAAAGCGGAGCUCGUGCUGCACGGCGGCGAGCGCUUCGAGGGCUACUCCUUCGGCUAUGAGGAGAGCGUGGCGGGCGAGGUGGUCUUCGCGACGGGCAUGGUCGGCUACCCGGAAAGUCUGAGCGACCCGUCGUACCACGGCCAGAUUCUCGUGCUGACGUCGCCGAUGGUGGGCAAUUACGGCGUGCCGCGGGUCGAGGAGGACCUCUUCGGGGUGACCAAGUACUUUGAGAGCACAGACGGCCAGAUCCACGUGAGUGCCGUGGUGGUGCAGGAGUACUGCGACCAGCCGGACCACUGGGAGAUGUAUGAGACGCUCGGCACGUGGCUGCGCAAGAACAAGGUUCCUGGAAUGAUGAUGGUGGAUACCCGCAGCAUCGUGCUGAAGCUGCGGGACAUGGGUACAGCGCUUGGCAAGGUGCUCGUGGCCGGUAACGAUGUGCCCUUUAUGGACCCGAACACCCGCAACCUGGUGGCGGAGGUAAGCACCAAGACGCGCGUCACGCACGGUCACGGCACGCUGCGCAUCCUCGUGAUCGAUAUGGGGGUGAAGCUGAACACGCUGCGCUGCCUGCUGAAGCACGACGUCACCCUGAUCGUUGUUCCGCACGACUGGGAUAUCACGACGGAGGUGUACGACGGCCUGUUCAUCACCAACGGCCCUGGUAACCCGCAGAUGUGCACGAGCACCAUUCGCAGCGUGCGCUGGGCCCUUCAGCAGGACAAGCCGAUCUUUGGUAUCUGCAUGGGCAACCAGAUGCUCUGCCUCGCCGCUGGCGGAACGACCUAUAAGAUGAAGUACGGUCACCGCGGCCAGAACCAGCCGUGCAAGUGCAACAUUGACGGUCGCGUCGUCAUCACGACGCAGAACCACGGCUUUGCCGUUGACUUCAAGACACUCCCGUCCGGCGAGUGGGAGGAGUACUUCACGAACUCGAACGACGGCAGCAAUGAGGGGCUGUGGCACAAGACGAAGCCGUUCUGCAGUGUCCAGUUCCAUCCUGAGGGCCGCUGCGGCCCGCAGGACACGGAGUACCUCUUCAGCGAGUACGUGUGCCGCGUGAAGGAGUCGAAGGUGAGGGAGGUGGCGAAGUUCAAGCCGCGCAAAGUGCUGGUGCUCGGCGCCGGCGGCAUCGUCAUCGCGCAGGCCGGCGAGUUCGACUACAGCGGCUCGCAGUGCCUCAAGUCGCUGCGCGAGGAGGGCAUGGAGACGGUGCUCAUCAACCCGAACAUCGCGACGGUGCAGACGGACGACGAGAUGGCCGACCACAUCUACUUUGUGCCGCUCACGGUGGAAGCGGUGGAGCGCGUGAUCGAGAAGGAGCGGCCGGACGGCAUUCUACUCGGCUGGGGCGGUCAGACGGCGCUCAACUGCGGUGUAAAGCUCGACGAGCUCGGCGUCUUAAAGAAGUACAACGUGCAGGUGCUCGGCACGCCCGUGUCCGUCAUUGCCGUGACGGAGGACCGCGAGCUAUUCCGAGACACUCUGCUGCAGAUCAACGAGCAGGUGGCCAAGUCGGCGGCGGUGAUGUCUGUGGAGGAGGCCGUGGCGGCAAGCAAGGACAUCGGCUUCCCGAUGAUGGUGCGCGCGGCCUACUGCCUUGGCGGGCAGGGCAGCGGCAUCGUCGAGAACAUGGAGGAGCUGCGUCACAAGGUCGAGGUGGCGCUGGCAGCGUCGCCGCAGGUGCUGCUGGAGGAGAGCGUGGCUGGCUGGAAGGAGAUCGAGUACGAGGUGGUGCGCGACAUCUACGACAACUGCAUCACCGUCUGCAACAUGGAGAACUUCGACCCCAUGGGAGUUCACACGGGCGAGUCCAUCGUCGUCGCGCCAUCGCAGACGCUGAGCAACGACGAGUUCCACAUGCUGCGCAGCGCCUCUAUCAAGAUCAUUCGCCAUCUCGGCAUCGUGGGCGAGUGCAACAUCCAGUACGGUCUCGACCCUUUCAGCCACCGCUACGUCGUCAUCGAGGUGAACGCUCGUCUGUCGCGCUCGUCGGCGCUGGCCUCCAAGGCCACCGGCUACCCGCUGGCCCACGUCGCCACCAAGAUCGCACUGGGCAAGGGGCUCUUUGAGAUCACGAACGGCGUUACCAAGACGACGAUGGCGUGCUUCGAGCCCAGCAUGGACUAUAUUGCGGUCAAGAUGCCGCGCUGGGACCUUCACAAGUUUAACAUGGUGAGCGAAGAGAUCGGCUCGAUGAUGAAGAGCGUCGGCGAGGUCAUGUCGAUUGGCCGCACCUUCGAGGAGGCCCUGCAGAAGGCGAUUCGCAUGGUGGACCCGAGCUACACCGGCUUCUCCCUUCCAGAUCGCUUCGCCGGCGUCGAUUUCGACUACAUGGAGCACAUCCGCCACCCGACGCCGUAUCGCUUGUUUGCCCUCUGCCGCGCCCUGCUCGACGGACACUCGGCCGAGGAGCUGUACCAGAUGACGAAGAUCACGCGUUUCUUUCUGUACAAGCUGGAGAAACUGGUGCGCCUCUCCAAGGCCACGUCCACGCUGUACGCAAACAAGCUCACCGAGAUGCCACGUGAGAACCUGCUUAACAUGAAGGCGCACGGCUUCUCUGACCGGCAACUUGCCCAGCUCCUCAACAGCACCGCCGCCGACGUGCGCGCGCGCCGUGUGGAGCUGAACGUGAUGCCGCUGAUCAAGCAGAUCGACACGGUUGCCGGCGAGUACCCGGCGGCGCAGUGCUGCUACCUCUACUCUACCUACAACGCCCAACGCGAUGAUGUGCCCUUCACAGAGCGCAUGUACGCCGUGCUCGGCUGCGGGGUCUACCGCAUCGGCAACAGCGUCGAGUUCGACUACGGCGGCGUCCUUGUGGCACGCGAGCUGCGCCGGCUCGGCAACAAGGUGAUCCUGAUCAACUACAAUCCCGAGACAGUGUCGACAGACUACGACGAGUGCGACCGCCUGUACUUUGACGAGGUGUCUGAGGAGACGGUGCUCGACAUCCUCACGAAGGAGCGCGUGCGCGGCGUCGUCAUCUCGCUGGGCGGCCAGAUUGUGCAGAACAUGGCCCUGAGCCUCAAGAAGAGUGGGCUGCCGAUUCUCGGCACUGACCCGGCGAACAUCGACAUGGCUGAGGAUCGCAACAAGUUCUCGAAGAUGUGCGACGAACUCGGCGUGCCGCAGCCGGAGUGGAUCUCGGCCACGUCGGUCGAGCAGGUGCACGAGUUCUGCGACACCGUCGGCUACCCUGCCCUGGUGCGUCCGAGCUACGUGCUGAGCGGGUCGGCCAUGGCCGUCAUUGCUAACAAGGAGGACGUGACGCGCUACCUGAAGGAGGCCUCCUUUGUCUCUGGCGAGCACCCGGUGGUGGUAAGCAAGUACUACGAGGCCGCCACGGAGUACGAUGUCGACAUCGUCGCCCACCACGGUCGCGUGCUGUGCUACGCCAUCUGCGAGCACGUUGAAAAUGCCGGCGUGCACUCUGGGGAUGCGACGAUGUUCCUGCCCCCGCAGAACACCGACAAGGACACAAUGAAGCGCAUAUACGACUCCGUCAACCGCAUCGCUGAGAAGCUGGACGUGGUGGGGCCGAUGAACGUGCAGUUCCUGCUGACGGCGGAGGGCCAGCUGCGCGUGAUUGAGGCGAACGUGCGCAGCUCCCGCUCCGUUCCAUUUGUGUCGAAGACGCUCGGCAUCUCUUUCCCUUCCGUGAUGGUGUCCGCUUUCCUGGCGCGCAAGGACCAGAACCUUGUGCCCAUCAAGCGCGCCAAGAUGACGCACAUUGGGUGCAAGGCCUCCAUGUUCAGCUUUAACCGCCUGGCCGGCGCGGACCCGAUCCUCGGCGUCGAGAUGGCCUCCACUGGUGAGAUCGGCGUCUUUGGCCGCGACAAGCACGAGGUGUUUCUCAAGGCAAUGCUGUGCCAGAACUUCAAGAUCCCGGAGAAGGGCGUCUUCUUUAGCAGUGACGUGGACAGCCAGACGGAGGCACUCUGCCCGUACAUUCAGCACCUUGUGCGGCGUGGGCUGAAGGUGUACGGCACGACCAAGACGGCGGCGGUGCUACACGAGUACGGCAUCCAGUGCGAGGUGCUCCUCCAGCGCGGCGAGUUGCCGUCCGGCGACGCGUCCGAGAGCAACCGUCUCGCGGUGUACGAUGAGGAAGUGGCAAAGAAGGAGAAGUUUGAUCUUGUGAUUCAGCUUCGUGACAAGAGGCGGGACUUUGUGCUGCGCCGCUGCACCCGCGAGACUGCCCCGCCGGACUACUGGGUGCGCCGCCUCGCCGUCGACUACAACAUUCCUCUGCUGACGGAGCCAAGCAUUGUUAAAAUGUUCUGCGAGUGCAUGGACCUGCCCGCGUCGUCUAUCGAGAUUGAGCCGUUCCGCCACUACGUGCCGAAGAUCUACCACAAGGUCGAGAACAACAACUGCGCCAUGUUGCGGUGCCACAAGGUUGGGCUGAUGAUUACCAACAACAACGAUAGCAAGGUGCUGGCGCUGCGUCUGAGCCAGGAGGGGCUCAACAUCACGUGCUUUCACGCCUACCUCGGUGGGUCGGACAUCGAUCACUUCGAGCAGGCGUUUCAGAGCCUGAACGUGCCGGUCGAGGUGGUCGACCUGCGCUCGGAGAUCGCGAACUCGGCGUUCGACCUCAUCAUGUGCCAGUCCGCCGACGAGCGCCACAACUGGCAUCUCUCGAAACUUAGCUGGUACAUCUUCGGCAAGUACCUCAUCCCGGUGAUGCGCCAGCGUCGCAUGUCCGUGGUGGCGCAGACGUCGAAGCAGAACAAGAAGGAGGCGGGCUUCGAGAAGUACGUGCAGAGCAACUGCCCUGAGAUGGGCGUCUACAACGCGUGGCGCGACGCGCGGCUGAUGGAGGAUUUCGAGACGGUGGCCGACCAGAUCAGCUUCCUGCGGAAGCACGGCAUCAAGGCGACGGUGAAGAGCAACGUCCAGGUGCACAGUUCCGUAUGCGGUAGCACCUACUACGGCGACGACAUGCGUAGCCUGCCGGCGCCAUCGCUGGUGAAGCCGGUGCGCGAGUGCAGCGUGACGCCCGAGUUCGUGUCCCUCACCUUCCGCGGUGCGCGCUGCGUGAACAUCAACGGUAUCGACGUAACGCCGCUGCUGGCGCUGCAGAUGGCAAACGAGAUCGCCGGCCGCAACGGCGUCGGCAUCACCCGCACGCGCGAGGGCGCCAUGUACGAGACACCGGGCAUGAAUCUGCUCUCCGUCGGCCUGCAGUUCCUAUACGACGUUUCUUUCGACCGCUGUGCCGCGGACCUGUUCCGCAUAUACUCGCGCCACGUGUCACAAAACAUCGGCGCUGGCCAGCUGUCAGAGAAGCACACGCAGUCCGCCAUCGAGGCGGUGCGCUUCCUGACGAGCGAUGUGAGCGGUGUGGUGGAGCUGGAGCUGCACCAGGGCGAGAUCAUCUUCCUGAAGCUGUCGCACGUGCAGAACCCGGUUGACCGUCGUGUCGCGCCGCAGCUGGUAACCGAGGAGGAGCUCGAGGAGGUUUUCCAGCCCGGCAACGGCUCCUUCAGCGACGUGCAGUGGUAGACGCGUAUACACGCCAACACGCGCGCAAGCACGUGCAGGCGAGAAGUGGCAAUUCAAAGUGCGCGCGUGCCUCUCUAGGCUGCUGUCGCUGCCGCGGUCUCUCCGUUGCAGUUACGGAUGCCGCUGCUCUAUUUUGUCGCUGCUCGCACGCCUUUCCGCUGGUGUCCGUGCAACUUGUGUAUGUGUGUGUGGUGGGUGUCGCGUGACGAGAGGCCUGCGAUGCUGUUGUUGGCCGUGCUUUUCUAAGAUAUCUUCGCCCGUAUUAUUCGUUUCGUCUUCGACUGCUUCAUGCUCCCCCCCUCCCCCCCGCCGCCGUGUGACGCCUUCACCUCUUAGCGUCUGCUGGGUGCACCGCUGCCUCGUGUGUGGGUGUGAGCGUGGGUUUGGGCGCAUAGGUGGGAUACGUCGAAACUAUUCAGCGAAGCAACCGCACGAGGCGAAGGACAAGACGCCGGUGGUGUGUCCGCGUUGCUGUGCGCUUGUCAAGGGGCGCACAUGGCAGCCCGCAUCCAGACGUGUGCCAAUUGGACGGGGAGAGCAGGAGAUGCGGGGAUGGGGGGAGCAUGGGGGAGGGAAGCUGACGUCUGUACGCCCCCUCCCUCUUUCUUCCGGCGGAUAUAUGAUGCGCACCGCUUCCGCCAUGUGCGUGUGCGCGCGCUCUUUCUUUCUCGUGUUGCCACGCUCUCCGUCUGUAUUGAUGUGCAAUGAUCCGUUUAUACUGUAGCGCUUCGUGCCCUUGUCGCUCUUCGCUCCCUCCUUCCCUCCCUCAUCUUCCGUGCACGUGCGCUCACGCCUUUCUCUCGUGGCUCGUGUGGGACUUGUGAGGCAAUGGGGAGGAUGGGGGUAGUGGUGGAGUGCGCGUGCGAGGGGCCCGAUGCCUGCCGUCGUGGGUGUCGAGCACCCGUUGGGGCGGCCGCAACGGCCACCACCCAUCCGUCGGCCCUCUUCCUCUCCUCUGCCCAACCGACGGGGAUGCUGAGGAAGGCGAGGGAGGGAGAGAGGAUACCGGGCGCGGCGAGACGGCAGAGGCUUAGCGUUUGGAUGUGCGUGUGUGCGUGUCACUGGCUUAAGUACAUUGAGACCGUAAG